rnacentral:rRNA from 1 species
AACUUUAUGUUAUUAUUCAAAGUAAUUCCUGCUCAGUGAAAAUAAACAGCCGCAGAAUUUUUAUACUGUGCUAAGGUAGCAUAAUCACUUGUCUUUUAAUUAAAGAAUAGAAUGAAUGGAAAAACGAAUUUUAACCUAUUUCAAUUUUUUUCAAUAAAAUUACCAAAAAGUAAAAACACUUUUUUUCAAAAAAAAGACGAUAAGACCCUAAAGAACUUAACUUAAGUUAAGCUGGGGCGGCUUUUUAAAAAAAUCUUAUUAAUUAUUCAUUACAUCUUUGUAAACUUACAAUGUUACCUUAGGGAUAACAGCAUAAUUUAAUUUAAUAGCUCUUAUUCAAAAUUAAGAUUAUGACCUCGAUGUUGAAUUAAAAAUCUACUAAACGAAAAAAAUUAGUAAGAAAGUCUGUUCGACUUUUAAAUAUUUACA